rnacentral:rRNA from 1 species
UCCUCCCUCUGGCGGCGUGCUUAACACAUGCAAGUCGAACGGAAAGGCCCUGCUUUUGUGGGGUGCUCGAGUGGCGCACGGGUGAGUAACACGUGAGUAACCUGUCCUUGACUUUGGGAUAACUUCAGGAAACUGGGGCUCAUACCGGAUAGGAGCUCCUGCUGCAUGGUGGGGGUUGGUAAGUUUCGGCGGUUGGGGAUGGAAUGGCGGCUUAUCAGCUUGUUGGUGGGGUAGUGGCUUACCAAGGCUUUGACGGGUAGCCGGCCUGAGAGGGUGACCGGCCACAUUGGGACUGAGAUACGGCCCAGACUCCUACGGGAGGCAGCAGUGGGGAAGAUUGCACAAUGGGCGGAAGCCUGAUGCAGCAACGCCGCGUGCGGGAUGACGGCCUUCGGGUUGUAAACCUCUUUCGCCUGUGACGAAGCGUGAGUGACGGUAAUGGGUAAAGAAGCACCGGCUAACUACGUG